UGGAAUGCCACUGACAGUUUUGCACAGAGGUCGGGGGUUUGCUUCGCAUUGAGUCAUGUCGUAUAAAGAACAGCGGAUAGGUCGUUUUCAUAGACUGCCCACAGCCGUCGCACCUAUUACCUGGUGUAUUGUAGGGGCAAAGUUGUUUCAAAUGUUUCAUGCUGGUUAUGCUAUAUAACACUACUAACGACUGCAAAAGGUUUUGACAGUCAUGUCAAAGACAAACCUAAAGGUAAGGCUCUUUUGCACUAGCUUUUACAUGGACCCAUGCUGUAGUGCUUGCAGGCCAUAUAGUACCCCUGUGGUAAUCCGUUGUUUAUUGAAAUAAAGGAGUGAACGGCACAAACUUACUCCUGAUUGCUCUCUAAUGGGGCUGUAACUGUUUAGCCUGGUCAAUUGUUCAAUAAACUCAGAAAGACGAGUACAUGUCAUUCUCACUGUUGCAUUGGCAUCAUCCCAGGUCGACCUGACUUCUUUGGCAGCGAGGUGAACAUCUCCUGCAGCAUGCUCAUGUCAAGCCACAUGUAGCAGCUGCGAGCAACGUACGUGACACAGUGUUCAUGCCACUGGCAAGGCUGCAGCACACUCUGUUGUCCUCGCGCAGCCGGAUGCUCCAUUUUGGAUGUCGGUUAGCCAGGAUGUCCAGCAAGGUUGAACCUUCUUGCUCAGCAUUUCUAAGUGCAAAAUUCCAGAGCAGCGUGCUCACCGGAAGUUCUCCGGAGGAUCCGGAUGCUCACCGGAGGAUCUCCCCACCACGGACUUCGGAGAAUCCCUCGAUCUGAAGCAACCUGGUGCGCGAGCCACCGAGCAGCCGCUGACCCAGACUGGAGAGGUUCAGCUCGAACGCCAGGGCCGGAGGAAUGCUUUUACUGGUGUACGAAUGGUUAAGAGCUUCGAAAUAAAGUUACGGUGUGUGGAA